rnacentral:snoRNA from 1 species
CUCCAAUGUAGAAUGGCUGCAAACAGCAGCAUUCCUAGGAAUGCAUACAGCCUGUUGUUUAUGUGAUCUGCCCUAAGGGACCAUCAGGAGAGUU